CACACACACACACCUAUACUCACACAUACAAACACACCUACAUGUGUGCACAUACACACGUACAUACAAACACCUAUAUACACAAAUACACAUAUACACACUUAUACAUACACACAUCUACACAUACAUACAUAUACACCUGUACAUACAUAUACAUGCACACACCUAUAACACACAAACACAUCUAUACACAAAGACACACACACAUCUAUGCAUACAGAUGUGUACUCACAGGAACACAUAAAUAAAGGAAAUGCAGAAAUGCCUAAUUAUGAAAACAGGAUGCCAGGGGGAAGUAGAGGAAACAUUUCCACACUUGUGUGACCUAUGCGUGUCAUGUGUCCCACUUCAACCCAUCCUACUCAUCUGUCAAAAGGGGAAAAGGCACUGCAUAGCAACUUUUAAAGGAGCUUUCUGACUCAUUUAGGAGCCCCAUACCUGCCCUCCCUUUCUGGGCAGCAGCCUCUGAGCCCAUGUCAUCUGUUGGAUGACCAGCCACGGGCCUGAGUCACACAAACUUUUGCAACCAAAGUCUCCUUUUUUUGUCAUCUUAGACGACUUGGCGUUGGUGGAAGAGGUGGGGUUUUUGUUGGAAAUGCCCAGGCAGCUAUCCUGGGCUCAGUAGCCCAGGGUGGACCAGGAGGUGGUUAAUUCUUGCUUGUUAAGUCCCUAGACUGUUGCGUGCUGCUGGCACGGACUGCUACAGACUGUAUGUGGCAGGCAGCCUGACAGCUAGUGGCAGGGGUUCAGCCAGGUAUGCCUCUAAGGGCUAAUUUCUUUUAUUUUAUUUCAGUGCUGUGAUCAAACUCACAGAUUCACAUCAGGUAGAUGGUGAGUGCUCUGUCCCCAGCUAAGGGCCAGUUUCUUAUCAACACCCCACCCCAUCAGCUCUCUUGCCUGCUCUCCACUGGCCCUCAAGGUUGAGGACUAGUAACCAGGUGACAUCUGAGGUUUGAAGGCUCAAGGUCAGGUGCAGGUAGGGUAUCUGGAAGGUAAAAAUGGUAGGGGAGUGGGAAACGGGGUGGAAACAUAUAGUCAGGAGGGGUGCAAUGUAGACCAUCUACCAACAGGCAGACAGAGUGCAGCCCACAAGGAAGGGAUGCGGUGCACAGGACUGAGUGGUCCCGUCUUCAGGGUGGCAUUGGCCUUUGUUUCCAACCAUUCUAGAGCAUCAUAGACGUAGGCUGAUGCAGGGACCGCUAAUUCCUCAAGGCCUGCUGUGGACAGACCUGCCUUCUGUGGUUUUGGAAAAGCCCUCCAGCAGAGACACAGGUAGUGGGGUGCUGGCAAGGUGUUGGAAUGUGAGCUGUGAACAAAGCUACAGGUAGCCUAGGGUUAGACCUGAUGAUGUAAAGGAACUGGGUGGCUAUGGAUCGACGUAGACAGGUUGUAUGUUCCCAACUGUGCAGGCUCCUUUUGUCCUCAGAGCCUUGGGAGGUCCCUAUCUGUAAUAGGCACACUAGCAGGAAGAGUGUAAACCCUUCGUCUGCAGCCCCAGUACAGUCCAACAUGGGUGCUCCUGCUUUACCGUGGAAGCCUCCAGUUCCAUGAUAAAAUACAAAAGCAAAUGAAAUGGAAGGAAGGGAGCUUGAGGUCUGAAAUGCCCUGCUAGCAGCCUCACGGGGCUUCUGCAUGGGGGAGGGGGUGGCAAGAGCGUGGCUAAGAUCCCUGGGAAAGAGCAAAGAAUGCCUUCGCCAGCUUCAUGCGCCUUUAGUGAAUGGCAGCUCCAGGGUCAAGAGCCUACCUGUCUGUCGCACGUGGCAUGCAAAUUUCACCAUGGAACGAGGGAGCUUGCUACACCUAUGGCCUCUUGUGGUGGUUAUGGCUUGAAGGCCUCAGUAACAGGCUUGAUGACCACUCCCUGAUCCAUGCAGCAAAUCUACCUAUGCUAUUACAGAGCAAUGUCUGGGGCCAGGAGGACGAAGUCUCUCUGCGCCUUGGGGAGGAGGGGCUUGUUGACCGGUACUCUGCUUAGAAGGAGGUACAUUCCUGUCUGGGCAGGAUAAAAAUGGGAGGGAGAAGAGGCUGUAAUCCCCCUUGGAGACAAAGGACUCUUCAGGACUUAAUUAAAAUGCCCAUCAAAGACUAGCCAAGACAGGGGUUAUGGAUGAAAUGAAGCUAGUUGGAGUGAACAUGUUCCAAGUCAAUUUCAUUCCAGGGGCACCCCUGGGGUUCUGACACUAGAGAGGCCCAAUCCAUCCUCAGUUCUAUCUCUUCUGCCACAGCAGGUGGGGGAAGGGCUUCUGAAGAUGUCCAGUUCCUGUUUAAAUAGCUGGAGAGUUCAAACUUUGGGUUCUCAAGGUGGUGGGCGUGAGAGGCUGAUCUGCAACUGGUACCCAACUAAAGCGAGUUGAAGGGAAGGCUAGAGACCCCCAUUUUACUCCACUAAGCUUUAGCAUCACCCUAAUGUUGGGGUAAGCCCAUGCUUGGGGCCUCUGCAGUUGACCUGUGAAGGAACAACGUUUCCUCUAAAUGACCCACAACUCAACCACGUGCCAUCUUUGUUUAUGCAUUACCUCCCUGUGGAGGCCAACUCCGCCAUCCCUAUUUAUUUUUAUUUGCUUAUCCAUUUGUUCCCUCGCUCAUUCAUUUUUUGUAGCAGCAGAUGUAACAUACAGCGGGGAAGUGUGCUACCAGCCUGUCACACCCUGGUCUCCCCACCGCCGUCCUUAUUUAAAAAUCCCAGCCCUUCUGCCUGACCCUCCUCAUCCCCUGACUCUGCGCAUCCUCCCCAGAGCUCCGCCUCCCACCUUGGAUAGUUUGUUCUCUUGUGCGCUGUUUCCUCCCAGCCCCUCUAGAACGAAAGCCCCUAGAGAAGGGAGCUUGUCCCGCAUACUGAUGUACUUGGUUCAGUACCUUCACAAAGAGUUGUUGAGUGAAUGAAUUAACAUGGCAGAGAAGAAAUAAUUCGUUAAUGUCACUGGACCCCAAGGAUACACCCGGGUUAAUGGAGCUGGAUCUGAAGGUGUCUUAUGCCCAGGUGAAGCCAGUCUGAGGGCUGGUGUUCAGGAGUAACCUGCUUAUUCUGCUCUAAGAGCUGCAUCUCUCAUCCCAAUCUGGGUUAGCCAAGUCCACGUCCCUAUACACAUUGCUCCUGUAGUGGAAUUGGUGAGGGAUCACACACAUUCUCCACUUCAUCCUGGGACCAGGAGCAAGCAGCUGUCUUGUCCCUUGCAGAUGACAGAGUGGCCGCCUAGAUUCACAUAGCAGCAAGAAGCUCUGGAAGAGGCCAGGAAAGUCCUGGUAAGAAGACAUCUGUCUGGAAAAUUUGAGUUCUUGGUGAGAUGUGUUUGGAACCUGAGCCCACACACGUUCUCUAUUCCUGACAAAAAUAAACAGUGUGAGGCCUGGGAUUAGACGGGACGUUCCCAGUUGCCACCACUGCCAGCACAAACUGGUUGGAAUCUCUUGUGGGUUACAGAUUCCCUUAUGACCAUAAGUGCAGCCUGCAAAGUACAGCAAGUAAUGAAAACAUGUUAACUUGAAUUUGGAAUCUUUUUUUUUCUGGAAGUUUCUUGGAAAUCUCCAGCUUUUCCAGCCUCAGCACCAAAACCCCAACCACAUCUCCACACUGUAUCCAUUCACGGGAGGAAAAGUCUUUUCAUUAAAUGGUUCUAGAAUGGUUGCUUUCCAGAUGGAAUCUCUUGAGCUUUGACCCCUACCUCACAACUAACCCAAGACUCCAUUCUGGAAGGAAUCACAAGCACAGAGAUAAAGGCAAAGAGAGCUCUGGGAAGAGAACAUGGCGAGUCGUCUUCAGGACUCCAGCGCAGUUUUGAUUCUGCUCAGUUCCAGCAGUGGAUUUGCUGCACUUCCAGCCAACUAUAACGAGUAGCCAGUGCCGCUGACUGUGACGAAGCGUGCAGCAGCCUCACUGGCGGGACGUGAAUUGGUCCAGCCACUUUGGAAUCUGGCAGUGCCAGCUAAGGCUGCAUUAACCGUUCACAACCUAGCGCAGACUCCUCCACUCUACAAAAUACGAAUGUGCAUUCCUAAUUGGCAUUGGCACACACAUACACCAACACACAAGACCACCUUCCUCCAAGAAUAGAAAGAACCCAAGUGCCCUUCCCAGGAGAACAGACAACUAAAUACAUGGUAAUCUGUCCUCCAAAUGAGACACCGCACAGCAGAGAUCUCAGCUCUAUAACGCAGACGGCUACCAUGCAGCCCAGUGUGGGUUUGUAUACCGUCUAUUAUCGCAUGUGCAAACGGAAACAUAGGCCUGUGCUCCCUGACCCUUCAGCGCCAUGCUCCUGCCUUGAUGAUAAUGGACUGAACCUCAGAACGACUAAUCCAGCCCCACUUAAUUGUUGUCCUUUAAAAGGGUUGCCUUGGUCGUGAUGUUUCUUUAUAGUAAUGAAACCCAAACUAAGACAGAUCGUGCAGAGCUGAAGUUAACGGGCAUCAUGAGCCAUUCAACUUCAUUGCUGGGAACAGAACUCCAGGCCCCUGCAAAAGCAGCAUAGACUCAGCCCCUGAGCCUUCUCUCCAGCCCUGUUUUCCCGUAAUAAAUAAACACCAAUAACCGCUUCUA